rnacentral:rRNA from 1 species
AGUCUGACCUGCCCAAUGAAAUUUUUAAUGGCCGCAGUAUUUUGACUGUGCAAAGGUAGCAUAAUCAUUAGUUUCUUAAUUAGAAGCUGGUAUGAAUGGUUGAACGAGAAAAAGACUGUCUCUACUUAAAUUUAUUAGAAUUUUAUUUUUAAGUUAAAAAGCUUAAAUAUAAUUAAAAGACGAGAAGACCCUAUAGAGUUUUAUAUUUUAUUUAAUUAUAAAUUUUUAAGAAUUAUAUAAUUUUUAAUUUUUUAAAGUAUUUUGUUGGGGUGAUAGAAAAAUUUAAAAAACUUUUUUUUUAUUAUUACAUUUAUUUAUGAGUAAUUGAUCCAUUGUUUGUGAUUAUAAGAUUAAAUUACCUUAGGGAUAACAGCGUAAUUUUUUUGGAGAGUUCUAAUCGAUAAAAAAGUUUGCGACCUCGAUGUUGGAUUAAAAUAUAAAAUUGGUGUAGAAGCUAAUUUAUUUAGGUCUGUUCGACCUUUAAAAUUUUACAUGAUCUGAGUUUAAACCGGUGUGAGCCAGGUUGGUUUCUAUCUUUAGUUAAUUAAAAUAUUUUAGUACGAAAGGACCAAAUAUUUAUAAAAUUUAUUUUAUUUUGAAUGAAAUUGUUACUUUGGCAGAAUAGUGCACUAAAUUUAGAAUUUAGGUAUGUAAUUAAAAUUACAUGUAAUACUUGAUUUUAAAAGAUUUAUUAUUAAUAUUAGUAAGAAGUUUAAUUUUAAUUAUUUGUGUUUUAGUAGGAGUA